UACGUAGGGUGCAAGCGUUGUCCGGAAUUAUUGGGCGUAAAGAGCGUGUAGGCGGCCAGGUAGGUCUGGUGUGAAAACUCGAGGCUUAACCUCGAGAUGUCAUCGGAAACCAUCUGGCUAGAGUCCGGAAGAGGAGACUGGAAUUCCUGGUGUAGCGGUGGAAUGCGCAGAUAUCAGGAGGAACACCGGUGGCGAAGGCGGGUCUCUGGGCAGUAACUGACGCUGAGGAGCGAAAGCGUGGGGAGCGAACAGG
rnacentral:rRNA from 1 species